GGUCAGAGGAGGGCGGAGGAGCGCCCACUGGACUCAGGGACACGAGGCCGCUGGGGGCUUUGGGGGAAGCAGCUCUGAUCAUAUGAUGGAGGCCACGCCAGAGUGCACCAGGAACAAACAAACCCCGAGGCUUUUCCCAUGACAAACUGUCCAAAACAGGAACGGAUAGGCCCAUCGAUGAAAAGGAGCGUGGAAUCCUGGGAAGAGCUGACUGUUCUGUGUUUUCAGAUGCGGGUGGUGGAGCAUGUGGUCGGUUAUGAUUGGGGUUGGCUGUGACACUGUUCGGUUAGGAGAGAAGUUUAGAGGCCAGCAGUUUGCGGUGGGAAUGGCAGCGCCUCUGUCAUCAGACACCCACGCUGCCUCUUCCUUCCUGCUGACUGUCCUGGCCACUUCCGCCUGUGUCUCACUGGCCAGAUCCCAGGCACAUGGCCCCACCCUGCUGCCUGGGCUUCUGUGGCCAAGGAGGAAGAGGAGAAGGGAAUUGGUGGGCGACUGGCAGCCUCUGCCACGUUCUGCUUAAAUAUUAAUGAGAAAUGCCAGAGUCACAGAGAAAGGAAAAUGGUUUUUGGUUUCAGGUUCCUGAGAAGGCAGGCGUAGGGGGAGAGGCAGCUGUCCAAAGCCCAGGCGAGGGGACCAGGCUUUGGGAGGACAGAAAUGGCUUCCACGGCUCCUCUCCUGCAGGAGGGAUGAGGGAGGAGGGGUUUGAGUCUGUAGAUGUGGCCACAGGAAGUCAAAGGCUUUCUCUCUGAUGGCUUCUACAUCAUGAAGACAAUCGGGAGCUCUACCGAGAGUGUGAAGUGUACAGAACAGGCUACUGACUUCUUGGACCACUCAGAAGCCUUGGACCACUCAGAAGUCUCACCUUUUCCAAAUCCUGCCUCGGACAGCUCUGCACGCCUUCCUCUCCUCUCUUCCUCAAUACGGAGCACCACGCCUCGACCCCUGGGAAGGUCUGACCCCACUACAGGCCUCCAGGUACCUCCAGCCUGUCCAGUCUCUUCCACGGUAACUCCCACCCACCCACGCUGCCCUGUGCAUCUCUGCCCCUGUUGGGCAAGGCCCCUAGAGCCUUGAGCUGACAUCUCACCCACGCGGCUCAGCACAGGACCAUCAGUAUCUGCCGACACCCUUCCUUCACCAGGCUGCAAGAACAGCGCCAGUGUGCAUCUUAGCUGCAGCCCUGGAGAAAUUGGGGCAAAGAUGAAAGGCUGACUCUUGAUUUGGGAAGUGAAAGCCCGGGGCUGUGAGGGUGAGGCUGGGAAAGAGGCCAGCAAUGCUGUGCACAGCCACCCUGACCACCACUCCCAAAGGAGAAGCCAUGGCCCCACCUCAGAGAGAAAGGAGGGAGCUGUGUGCUGCAAACCCAAUGUUUCCCGGUCCCAGUGGUCCAUUUCACCCCACAGGGAAGCUAGGUGGCAUGUCCUGGAAGGUGACGUUUCAGCCAAGCCCCAAGGUGAGAGUCAACCUGCAUGAGAGAAACAGCAGGCAGCUGGGGACCUGAGAGUUGCCCGGGUUUGUGUUCACAGCGUAAGAGUUCUCAGAACGGGGAUGGAUGAACGCCGGGUUCAGCUGCCUUCCACAAGACAAAGCAGCCACAGGCAUGGGCCGGCCCUCUGUGACAGUGAGGAAUCCGUGUAGAAAGGCCUGGCCAUGGCCUCCUUUCUCUCCUCGGGCUCUCAACGAGCACACCUGGCUGUGGAGCUUCUUAGAGGCCUGGGAAUGGGUCUGGAGGAGGAGCCAGCACCGAAGACACAAGGAAAGACAGUUUCACAGUCACCGCUUUGCAGCAAAUAGAGCCACAGGCUGCCCCGAGGGCCACCACAUAGUCUCUUCCCCCGAACCCCGCCCCACUCAGACCCUGACUGACUUCCAGUGGGGCCGACACUGCUGGCCCAGCAGCCCUUCUUUGGCCUGCUGGUGUCUUGGGCAUUGUGUGUGUGGGGGGGUGUCCACCUUCUCUCUCCUUUCCCCUGCCUCAGACCACCACUCACCUUCUGUAUGCUUCCACCCAGGCCCUCUUCACUUUGCUUUCUUUUUCUUUCACGUUAGACCCUGAGGGUCAGUUUCCUUUCUGCAAAGGCCAGGAUAGCUUGAUUUCUAGAACUUCCUAGGUGUAAGGGGAGAUAGUUGCAUUCUUUCCUGGGAGGUGUGCUCAAUCCUGGAGCGGGUUGGAUCCUUCUUAUGCAGCAAUAAAAUAAAGAGAGUGGCCAGGCUCAGUGGUUCAUGACUGGAAUCCCAGUCCUUUGGGAGGCCAAGG